GUGUGUGUUACACUGUGUUUUCAUCUGCUGGAUAUCAUGUGAAAAUUAGAUAAGUUGGCACAGAAAACUACAGAACCCCCAUAGUGAACAAGAGUGACAGCACUGAGCUCCUGCUACCACCGGGGUCAGCAACCACCAGCGUCCUCUUGGCUGGUGCCAACUGAACCAAAAGGAAGAAUCAGCAGGAUGAUAAUUUUGACAAAAUGAAGGACAGAGCUCUGGAAGGUGGUCUUCUGGCCUUACUUGUAACUGGACCCUUCCUGUCGCCCAUUAAUAAGCAGGUUUGGUUUGUUUGUCCUUGUGCCAUAUUUUGGCUUGGUAGAAAUGGUCUUGGUGGUGGUAGAAACACUUCAAAUGCUGGCAAUGUAUAUCUCGCUGUAAGAGGCAGAAUUAUGCUUUUAUUAUUAUCAUCAUCAUCAAUUAAGAUUCAGAACCAAAUCACCAGAUUUGAUGGGAAUUCCUCCUCUGGCUUCAGGGGGUACUGAAACUUCGUGCUCUCCAAAGAAGGUUUUGGUUUAUUUCCUGGCAUGAUGCAUUCUAGUUGGUAUAGCAGUAACUGGCAUGGUAGAUCUUUUAAUACACACAUUGCAGGAAAGAGCAAAGGACUGUAGCGUGAGAACCAAAACAGAAAAUUGAGGUUUUGUGCUAAGUGUGAAAAGUGGAAAUUUCUCUCUGCAUCCAAGGAAGAAGUGUGGCCUGUUGGGUAGAGCAGCAACAGAGCCAGGGCAGAUUUCUGCAUUUUAUUUCUGGCUUUGUUAUUGGUUGCAGUGAGACUUCACAUGUGCUCCCACCUCCUAUUUUUAAGAUGAGGGCUUUGCUUGCUAAAACAGUGAAAACCAAUGGCUCUGCAAGAGCUUUGGCUGACAGACACAGAAAAAACUUGAGGAGUCUCCUCUCACUCAUAGCAAACUGUAACUUACCUUCUUUCAAGUCACUCAGCUGAAUUACUAAAUGCUUGAUUUAAAUAAACUAACAAGUUUUAAGCUAAUUUUUAAUGUAACAACCUUUAAAAAUAUUGGGACCUAUCCCCAUACUUGCCCUUCAUCCUGAUUCUUCUUCUUGCUAGAAUACAGUACAUGAGUAGUGCAAGGAGGAAGGAGAAGAGGAGGCUGUGCCCCCUCUCUUCUCCCUCACCCUGCAGCCAGCAGAAGAGGUGCAAACAAAACACCGGUGUGCUCUGACUCUCAGGGACCUCCUGUGCCUGGCUAUCUUACACCUGUGUAACAACUUCAGGACAAACCAGAAAUCCAAAGAGGUGGCUGUGGAGAAUUCUCUGUACAUAUUUUUUUUUUCUAUGAAUGUGGUUUAAGACUACAUUAAUCAAUUUGCUAAAAGAGAAAUAUGGUUUUGUACAAGAUGUUUUGUGGGCAGAAAAUAAUAUGUUGUAUGGGACUUUCUCCAGUUUGUAGUCACUGGGAAAACUUUCUCUGGAGUCAACUCACUACUGGCUAGCACCAUGCAACAGAAGUUUUUGACAGGAAAUUACUGUCAAGUGCUGGCAUUUUGCAACUGACAUUCACUUUCCCCUAGUGUAAAUGACGCUGCGAGACAAGAGGACCCAACCUCAGUGAAGCCCAGCGAGUGUAACCACAAUGCCUCGCUGGGGCUGCUUGGCUCUGGCCCAAGGUGAUGGCUGUCACAGAUCUCAUGGGAAAGGGAUAUUGGCGCUAGGAUUGUCCAAUUCCAGGAGAACAUCCUCAGUUAAAAGGACAUCAAGGACUGCCUGUCAAUCCACAGGCUAAAACUUAAGAGACAGCUCCCAUGGUGCCCCUCCAUCCCAAGACACAGCAAGCAAGAAGUGACCACUGACAUUGCUCCUCAGUCUGCACUGGCAGAAGGCUUACAGCUGGCAGCCCACCCUGGCAUGUCUGCGGUGUGAUUUUGCAGCCAGGGAGGGUUUGGAGGAACAGAACUAAGUCCCAUGGGUGCACCUGCAACUCUCUUUGCCACACAGGGCAGGGAGAUGGGAAUUUGGUCCUUCCCAGGAUACUAACCAGCCUCCUCACCCUGCUCUGGUUCACAGGUUCACUUCUGCCCAAGGUUCACAAAUUUCUACCUGCUGCAGGCGGUGUUUCUGGAGACAGUUCUUCAAGAGGUGAUCUUGAAACCUCGGGCAAAGUUCCUGAUAACCUGAAUAGUUAUGAACCAAGCAGAGCAAGGAUGAGGGCUAUGGCUCUUACCCCCUAAGAUUUUGAUGUCUCUGGCUUGUUGGCUUACUGAGAGCCCAAACUGUUGGUUGAGGGCUCAUCCUACUUUUUGUUAAGGACUUGGGUCCAGUGCUUGGAAAAUCCUGAGAC